GAAAGGGGGCCGAUCGCCUAAACGGUUUUUACCCCUUGUGUGCAAAACAGUCCGUUACAGCAUGGUUUCACACGAAUUCCUUUGUGCUCAGGUUAGAUGGCCGCCAUUUCGGGACUUUACACAUGUUCGCGGCCAUCUUACGCACGAACGGCGGUGUUUGCCCGUGAACGCAUGGAACUAAAAAUCGGAUACGCAAACAGGCGAACACCGCUGAGACCUCCAGGAGCUCGUAAUUCCGUGCUGGAACUACCGAACAACCGGCCGUUCGGUAGUUUUGCUUAAGCUCACAUAGGGAUUCCAGCGAACACCCGGAUGACUGUGGAUGGCAAGGGGUUCGUGGUUUUUUAAUGCACGAACGGAGACCGACCGGCCAAAACUUAUGGAACUCUUUUCGGCUAGAAAACCUGUGCGGUCUGUCAAAACUUCAAAGAUCCAUAACUCCCGAACCCCUCAACCGAAUGGGCUGAAAUUUGGACAUGUUGUUCCCCUGAGUGAGAG